ensembl:lncRNA
GCAGGAGGGAAGGACACUGGGUCACUGUCCUCUCUGGUUAACACAAUGACUGCGACACCCCAGCAUGCCCUCCCAGGACAGGCGACUCGCUGGGCUUCCUUUGGGCUGUUUUCACUCCGUUUGGAUCCCUGUGAGUGACAGCUCCAGGAUGAGAAAAGGAAAAGACAAGUCGUGACAUCUGUUCUUUUCCUUCCUUCUGUAAUAUAAACUUCAAAUCCUGUGGAAAGGCCAGAAGUCAUACGAUGCCUCUGUCCUGUCUGCUGUUAAUGAGGCCUCCAGUGACAUCACCCCGCCAGACAGCAGUGCAGGGCUGCACAGUUUGCUUUGAGGAGUGCACGGAAGGUCAGCUGGAAUUCAAGUCUCAUCAAGUCACCCUCAAUAGGAAAGAAGGCACGCUUUAGAUAUGGAACAACUCACGAGGACUUUGGCACUUCUCAAGUUGCCUGCAAGGCUAGAUGUGGACUUGCUAGUGACCCAGACGUGGAAAACCAUCACCUUAAAGGAUGACGGGGCCAGAGAUGGAAAAGAACCUGGGUUCUUGAAUGACAGCCACUAGCAGAGCUGUUGCCAUAAGUCUGAACUGAUCACCUUUGGACGGUUAUGUGAAAAAAAUAAAUCAAUAAACUGCCUUGUUUGACUCCCUG